rnacentral:rRNA from 1 species
CUACGGAGGGUGCAAGCGUUGUUCGGAAUCACUGGGCGUAAAGGGCGCGCAGGCGGUUUGGUAAGUCAGAUGUGAAAGCCCACGGCUCAACCGUGGAAGUGCAUUUGAAACUGCCAGACUUGAGUACCAGAGGGGAAAGUGGAAUUCCCGGUGUAGAGGUGAAAUUCGUAGAUAUCGGGAGGAAUACCGGUGGCGAAGGCGACUUUCUGGCUGGAUACUGACGCUGAGGCGCGAAAGCGUGGGGAGCAAACAGGAUUAGAUACCCCAGUAGUCC